GAUGAACGCUAGCGGGAGGCCUAACACAUGCAAGCCGAGCGGUAGGUUUCCUUCGGGAGACUGAGAGCGGCGCACGGGUGCGGAACACGUGUGCAACCUGCCUUUAUCAGGGGGAUAGCCUUUCGAAAGGAAGAUUAAUACCCCAUAACAUUUUGAAUGGCAUCAUUUAAAAUUGAAAACUCCGGUGGAUAAAGAUGGGCACGCGCAGGAUUAGAUAGUUGGUAGGGUAACGGCCUACCAAGUCAACGAUCCUUAGGGGGCCUGAGAGGGUGAUCCCCCACACUGGUACUGAGACACGGACCAGACUCCUACGGGAGGCAGCAGUGAGGAAUAUUGGACAAUGGGUGAGAGCCUGAUCCAGCCAUCCCGCGUGAAGGACGACGGCCCUAUGGGUUGUAAACUUCUUUUGUAUAGGGAUAAACCUACUCUCGUGAGAGUAGCUGAAGGUACUAUACGAAUAAGCACCGGCUAACUCCGUGCCAGCAGCCGCGGUAAU
rnacentral:rRNA from 1 species